rnacentral:rRNA from 1 species
GGGGGAAUAUUGCACAAUGGGCGCAAGCAUGAUGCAGCCAUGCCGCGUGUAUGAAGAAGGCCUUCGGGUUGUAAAGUACUUUCAGCGAGGAGGAAGGCGUUGUGGUUAAUAACCGCAGCGAUUGACGUUACUCGCAGAAGAAGCACCGGCUAACUCCGUGCCAGCAGCCGCGGUAAUACGGAGGGUGCAAGCGUUAAUCGGAAUUACUGGGCGUAAAGCGCACGCAGGCGGUCUGUCAAGUCGGAUGUGAAAUCCCCGGGCUCAACCUGGGAACUGCAUCCGAAACUGGCAGGCUAGAGUCUUGUAGAGGGGGGUAGAAUUCCAGGUGUAGCGGUGAAAUGCGUAGAGAUCUGGAGGAAUACCGGUGGCGAAGGCGGCCCCCUGGACAAAGACUGACGCUCAGGUGCGAAAGCGUGGGGAGCAAACA